AUACGGAGGGUCCAAGCGUUAUCCGGAAUCAUUGGGUUUAAAGGGUCCGCAGGCGGUCAAUUAAGCCAGAGGUGAAAGCCCAUCGCUCAACGAUGGAACUGCCUUUGAUACUGGUUGACUUGAGCUAUACGGAAGUAGAUAGAAUAAGUAGUGUAGCGGUGAAAUGCAUAGAUAUUACUUAGAAUACCGAUUGCGAAGGCAGUCUACUACGUAUAUACUGACGCUGAGGGACGAAAGCGUGGGGAGCGAACAGGAUUAGAAACCCGAGUAGUCC
rnacentral:rRNA from 1 species